rnacentral:rRNA from 1 species
AUGGCGACCGGCGCACGGGUGAGUAACACGUAUCCAACCUGCCGAUAACUCGGGGAUAGCCUUUCGAAAGAAAGAUUAAUACCCGAUGGCAUAAUAGAACCGCAUGGUUUGAUUAUUAAAGAAUUUCGGUUAUCGAUGGGGAUGCGUUCCAUUAGUUUGUUGGCGGGGUAACGGCCCACCAAGGCGACGAUCGGUAGCCGGACUGAGAGGUUGAACGGCCACAUUGGGACUGAGACACGGCCCAG